GCCGCCGUAGCUUAGCUGGUAGAGCGUCCGGCUGUUAACCGGACGGUCACAGGUUCGAAUCCUGUCGGCGGCG
rnacentral:tRNA from 3 species